rnacentral:rRNA from 1 species
UACGGAGGGUCCGAGCGUUAAUCGGAAUUACUGGGCGUAAAGCGCACGCAGGCGGUUUGUUAAGCUAGAUGUGAAAGCCCGUGGACUCGAACUGGAUGCAUUUAGAACUGGCAGGCUAGAGUUUUGGAGAGGGGAGUGGAAUUCCAGGUGUAGCGGUGAAAUGCGUAGAUAUCUGGAGGAACAUCAGUGGCGAAGGCGAC